rnacentral:rRNA from 1 species
CACGUAGGCGGAAAAUCAAGUGCUUUGUGAAAUCCCUCGGCUCAACCGAGGAAUUGCUCGGCAUACUGAUUUUCUUGAGGCAGGCAGGGGUGCAUGGAACUCUGGGUGGAGCGGUGAAAUGCGUAGAUAUCCAGAGGAACGCCAAUGGUGAAGACAGUGCACUGGGCCUGAACGGACGCUGAGGUGCGAAAGCGUGGGUAGCGAACAGGAUUAGAUACCCUGGUAGUCC